AUUCUCCUGCUCUUUUGCUUUCCAGGUGAUGGUCCCAGGGCUCACCUGCAGAAGUUGGCAGAGUAUAUCCGUUGGUCUUACGGUGCCGGAAUAGUGCUCCGACUCGGAAACAUCGCUCGAUUAGAACUUAACUACUGUUUCCCCAUGGGAGUACAGUCUGGUGACAGGAUAUGUGACGGUGUUCAGUUCGGAGCAGGAAUCAGAUUUCUAUAAUGCAGAAACAUUUUACAUCACUAUAUGAAAUUGUGCUCUGUAUUGAAAUCAAGACUGUAAUAUAGCUAUAUACGGUCUAAAUUUUUUCUUGAAAUACAGAUACACAUCUGAGUGAUUAAAAAAGGUUCUAAAGGUUCA